rnacentral:lncRNA from 1 species
UAAUGCCAAAUUUUCCCAACAAAAAAUCUUUGCAAGGUGUGAAACAUUACAAAGUUUAACACAGCCAUCUGUAUGUAUCUACAACACAGCAGUUUAAAAAAUCCUCUACAAAGUGAUGACAUACAACAUAGAUUGAUAAAAUAUAUCACACAACAGAGUUAUGAACCAGUACAAUCCAUUUUACAUCAACAGAACAUAUAAACUAUUGAGGCUGUUAUUCAAGCUCUUGCCAUCGACGUUCUUGAUGGCAACGAUCAUGCCGUGAUGGGCAGCACCAAGUAGCACAGUAUCCAAUCUUACCUAGCAUAUUAACAAGAAUAUUAGAUAUUUGCACAUAUGGAAAGAUAGUAGAAAUAAGAAAAUUGCAACAAAUAUAAAAAUGAAUUACAUGUCCAGAAUUCUUAAAUCUUGUAGUGCCUACAAAUGAGAAUAACAUUGUAUCUACUAUAAAACAAGAUUAAACAUGAGGUUGCUUAAAAUUAACCCAAAAAAAGUGUGUCAAAUGACAAAGUGACGAAACACACAUCACAUAACUCCUACUAUAGCAGCAGUAGUUCAGGCCAUAUAAACCCAUUGUAAUGUAGUGGACUAUGAAACAUGAAAAUACUUGAUAAACAAUGAGAUAAUAGAUAGGAAAGUGCAACUUGAAAUAAUCAUGCAUCGUUUAUAUUCAUUCAGGAUAUACAGAAAUGAUUUUCUAUCAUAAACCCAUUGAUUAUAUUAUCCGUGUUACUUCUGUGCAAGACGAUUCUAUACGCUGCCCACUUGACUAGCAUAGUACUAUUAUUUGUGACAGAAAAAAUAGUUAAAUGAAAUUAACCAGUAUAUAUUUAUACAUGGUGGCAGCAGUAGGAACAACCCUUGCUCCUACUUCACGAAUCAGACUACAAAUUUAGUCUGAUGCAAGUAUAUAUAGGUACGUUCAGACCAAAAAUUUGAAGUAGGAGCAAGUAUUGCACGAACCAGUAUAUAUUUAUACAAGGUGGCAGCAGUAGGAACAAGGCUUGCACGAAUCAGACUCAUACAUAGCUUAAGUAUUACUUCAUUUUAAUGAAGGUACAAGCCGAGUCAGAACACAUGCAGUAGCAAUCACGAAUAUAGAUACAGAUCCUGAAACCUUCUAGGACAUAAGCGAGAAGAUAAAUUGGAUUGUCUUUUUAAUAUCAAAUCAAGGUCUAGAAAUACAUAGAGAUAUUCAGUGGUGGACGUUGUGAAGACAAUAAUAUUUUUUUUACAUUUACAAAAUGAAUAAUCUGAUCCUGUUAGGUAGUUGUCAAGCAUAUCUUACCAUCAACGUUGUGUGCAUCUAGGCAUGCUAGUUGUGCUAUAUUUAUGCCAGCUAAUGCAUUGUAACUUCGACCAAUUUUUCCAACAUAACCCGUGUGCUCUCUGCUCUCUGUGCUAUUCUUAGUCCCUUUCACUUUCAGAAAUAUCAUAAUAAGUGAAAAUGGAUAUACAAUUGUUUGCCAACAUUCGGUUUGUUCACAACCAUGUUUGUAAGGCAACAAAAACAAAGAUGUAUUUUGUAUGCCCACAGUUUACCCAAGUUUUAGCAAUGAGAUGAAAGUUCCUCCCUGACAACAAGCUAAGGCCUUAUAUAAAUUACUAGAACUGGAUCAGAGAAGCAAACGAUCUCACUUUAAGGAAGAAAUAGAAUAACUUAUCUUCAGUCCGUGCGUGUUAGGCCAUGGUCAGGGGUAGCGGAACCCAGCGUUGGUUCCAUAGCACCGUCGGGGAGGAAGGGAGGCCAGAGGUUGGCUGGACCGCCGUGUUCCAGUAUGUGUGCCUGAGAUGUAUGCCAAUCAAUCAAAGGAACUUGUUAUACACACACACAAAACAAAUUGAUCUGAUCACGUCUCAGUGGUUCGUCAUGUCAUGUUCAGAUUCAGAAUAAGCUAAUAGAACCCAGCACAGGAAGAAACUAAACUUGCUUAUGGAAAUAUCUCCUUAAGUUAAAGUGUUAAUCAUCAAGAUAUUUUAAAAUUUGUGAAGCACAUCUGUACAUUGAGAAAGUAAGAUUAAUAGCAAAUCGAAUAGCAGGAAAUGAAAAACAACAAGUGCAGCUUUAGCACUCUACAGAUAUGGUGCUCCCGUUGCAUUGAAAUGUCGUUCAGAUGUUUCGAAAUACCAUUUUAUUUUUUUCUUCCGUGUGUAGAUAUUUCUUUCGGGGCGUACAAUUUUGCUCCAAAACCACUGACUAACCUACACUGAAAUAUGUGCCUACUUAGUUUCAGAUCGAUCCCCUCAACCUAUUCUAUUCUAUUCCAUCUCUAGAAUUAGGUAGCCACAGACCAAAAUCAAUUAAGAUACUAAUUCGUGAAAAUUAUCUCGUGGUCACGGAAGAUAAAAGACGAACUGACCAAGAAGAUAAAAGACGAACUGACCAAGAAGCUAUGAAAAUUAUAUGAUUUUGGCACAAAGCAUUGCACAGGAAUUAGAGCACUAAGAGUUUUGAUUCAUUGUACAAAAAAAUAAGAUUCGACACAGCACAUGGAACUUCAAGCGGCUUGUUUGUCAUUUCGCUUCUUUGUCAAGUAUUUUAGGUACCUAUAGAAGGAGACAGGGAGAUAUAAUUUGCAUGUAUGAUGUAUCUAGAGAUUAAAUUGUACAGCUACAUAUGUGUGGGCAGUCGAGAGCUACAUGAAAGUUUAUUAUCCAAUAACCAGAAAUCAUAUAGUUUGAAAACUACAUAGCUAAAACAAGCCCAUUAACUAUAAACAAUAAAUGUCAUAUUUAUAUGAAAAGAAAUUGGCGGAAAGAAAACAGAAAAUACUCUCCUUAUUCUUGAAUUUGAAAGCUUUUUGACCUCUAUAGUAAUCAUUUCAGUAAGUAUAGGACCAGAAUCAUGAACUGAAUUUUUAGUUAGAAGAACAAGCAUUGAAUUACGUGUAUUUUCAGUCAAGCUUACUUCCAGAAAACAUUGAGCCCUAGCAGAACAUAAGGGCAAAUAGAUGCUUGAGUAAAGUGUAUGAAUAACAUAAAGGGCAUGUUCAGGAAAGGGCUGUGCAGAUAUCAUCACCAAGUAAAAAAAUGUUUCUAGUCCAUGUGAGAUAUUCAAAUUAUGCAGGCAAGGGCAGUGCAGAUAUCAUCACCAAGUGAAAAAUGUUUUUAGAUGUACAAAGACCAUUAGAUGCACUGACCGGUGUGGGACCCAUCACCAUUAUGUGC